CCUACGGGAGGCAGCAGUGAGGAAUAUUGGUCAAUGGACGCAAGUCUGAACCAGCCAUGCCGCGUGCAGGAAGACGGCUCUAUGAGUUGUAAACUGCUUUUGUACGAGGGUAAACGCAGAUACGCGUAUCUGUCUGAAAGUAUCGUACGACUAAGGAUCGGCUAACUCCGUGCCAGCAGCCGCGGUAAUACGGAGGAUUCAAGCGUUAUCCGGAUUUAUUGGGUUUAAAGGGUGCGUAGGCGGUCGGAUAAGUUAGAGGUGAAAUCCCGAGGCUCAACUUCGGAAUUGCCUCUGAUACUGUUCGGCGAGAGAGUAGUUGCGGUAGGCGGAAUGUAUGGUGUAGCGGUGAAAUGCUUAGAGAUCAUACAGAACACCGAUUGCGAAGGCAGCUUACCAAGCUACUUCUGACGUUGAGGCACGAAAGCGUGGGGAGCAAACAGGAUUAGAUACCCGAGUAGUC
rnacentral:rRNA from 1 species